rnacentral:lncRNA from 10 species
CUUCCCUAUAGGAGUUGAGAAGAGGAGGAAGAAUAAUGGGAGGAGACAGGACCUUUUUCAACUUGACAAAUAGAUUUCUGAGAGAGCAGACACCAUCUUAUUUCUGUUGAAUUGUAUUUAGUAACUCAAAAGGCAUAUACCAAGCUGUCAGAAGCAGCUUCAUUUAAAAGGCUUUGGUAUCAGGAUGAUGCUGGCCUCAUAAAAUGAGUUAAGGAGGAUUCCCUCUUUUUCUAUUGAUUGGAAUAGUUUCAGAAGGAAUGGUACCAGCUCCUCCUUGUGCCUCUGGUAGAAUUCGGCUGUGAAUCCAUCUGGUCCUGGACUUUUUUUGGUUGG